rnacentral:rRNA from 1 species
UACGUAGGGGGCAAGCGUUGUUCGGAAUUACUGGGCGUAAAGGGCGCGUAGGCGGCCCGCUAAGUCGAACGUGAAAUCCCCCGAGCUCAACUCGGGAACUGCGUCCGAGACUGGAAGGCUUGAAUCCGGGAGAGGGAUGUGGAAUUCCUGGUGUAGCGGUGAAAUGCGCAGAUAUCAGGAGGAACACCAAUGGCGAAGGCAGCUCGCUGGGACGUGACUGACGCUGAGACGCGAAAGCGUGGGGAGCAAACAGG